AUGAACGCUAGCGACAGGCCUAACACAUGCAAGUCGAGGGGCAGCACAAGGAGCAAUCUGAGGUGGCGACCGGCGCACGGGUGAGUAACACGUAUGCAACCUGCCUGUAAGCGGGGAAUAACCCGUUGAAAGACGGACUAAUACCGCAUAAUACUAAAUUACUGCAUGGUAAUUUAUUUAAACAUUUAUGGCUUACAGAUGGGCAUGCGCAUGAUUAGCUAGUUGGAGAGGUAACGGCUCCCCAAGGCAACGAUCAUUAGGGGUUCUGAGAGGAAGGUCCCCCACACUGGUACUGAGACACGGACCAGACUCCUACGGGAGGCAGCAGUGAGGAAUAUUGGUCAAUGGACGAGAGUCUGAACCAGCCAAGUCGCGUGCAGGAAGAAUGUCCUUAAUGGAUUGUAGACUGCUUUUGCAGGGGAAUAAAGUGCAUCACGUGUGAUGCUUUGUGUGUACUCUGCGAAUAAGGAUCGGCUAACUCCGUGCCAGCCGCCGC
rnacentral:rRNA from 1 species